AGGUGGAAGAUUUAUCCUCUCCGCUCUCCUUCCUGACUCAGAAGAGAUUGCGGACCUGGAAGCUGCAGUGCCUCUGGGUCACUUGGUAAUUUAAAAUUGAUGACUUGGAAAGAGAAUGGAGAUAAAGAUGCUGUCCUGGGAUGUGUCCUUUUAUAGAGAGCGUUUGAGGACUUUCACCUGUGCGUGUCUGGACCGGCAUGUUGGCUGGCUGGGUGUUGAGCAACGGACGUGGCCCCCACAGGGAGUCGGUGCCGGGGCCUGCCUAACAGGAGAAUUUGAACCUUGGGCAACCAUGCCGUGAGGAAGCGCAAGCUAUGCAAAUGGACAGGCCGUGUGGGGAGAUGGCUGGUGGCCCCGGUGUUCUGUCUCCCAGUCAACUCAUCCUAGAUGACGUCCCAAGCAUCAUGAA